CCUACGGGAGGCUGCAGUGAGGAAUAUUGGUCAAUGGGCGCGAGCCUGAACCAGCCAAGUAGCGUGAAGGAUGACUGCCCUACGGGUUGUAAACUUCUUUUAUAAAGGAAUAAAGUGAGGCACGUGUGCCUUUUUGUAUGUACUUUAUGAAUAAGGCUCGGGCAAAUUCGGGCCCACAGCCGCGGGAAAUCGGAGGAUCCGAGCGUUAUCCGGAUUUUUUGGGUUUAAAGGGAGGCUAAGUGGGUUGUUAAGUCAGUUGUGAAAGUUUGCGGCUCAACCGUAAAAGUGCAAUUGAUACUGGCAGCCUUGAGUACAGUUGAGGUAGGCGGAAUUCGUGGUGUAGCGGUGAAAUGCUUAGAUAUCACGAAGAACUCCGAUUGCGAAGGCAGCUUACUAAACUGCCACUGACAUUGAUGCUCGAAAGUGUGGGUAUCAAACAGGAUUAGAUACCCCGGUAGUC
rnacentral:rRNA from 1 species